rnacentral:rRNA from 1 species
UACAGAGGGUGCGAGCGUUGUUCGGAAUUAUUGGGCGUAAAGCGCAUGCAGGCGGCUUGUUAAGUCACGUGUGAAAGCCCCAGGCUCAACCUGGGAAGUGCGCGUGAAACUGGCGAGCUUGAAUCCGGGAGAGGGACGUGGAAUUCCAGGUGUAGCGGUGAAAUGCGUAGAUAUCUGGAGGAACACCGGUGGCGAAGGCGACUCUCGUGCCGGCAUUGACGCUGAUGAGCGAAAGCUAGGGGAGCAAACGGG